rnacentral:lncRNA from 1 species
AUGCUGAGCGGCCCAGGAUCACACCCAGUGCACCCACAACUCAGGCAAGUCCAGCAGCCAAUCCUAGGAGACCUGGGCUACAGAACAGUCUCCCAAGUUCCAGGCUCACAAAACGCUCUGAACUCAGACACCUCGAACCUUGUUUUUGUGGUUAAGGAUCCUAAAGUGCUGUGGGGACUGAUCUCGUUUUUCUCAACAUCCCUGACUCCACAUCUUCUGCCACACACGUCAGCAUGGUGGUAUAUGCGGGCCCUUGGUCCAGUAAGAAGGCAGAGAUGA